UAUUAUGAGAGUUUGAUCCUGGCUCAGGACGAACGCUGGCGGCGUGCCUAAUACAUGCAAGUCGAACGCUUCUUUCCUCCCGAGUGCUUGCACUCAAUUGGAAAGAGGAGUGGCGGACGGGUGAGUAACACGUGGGUAACCUACCCAUCAGAGGGGGAUAACACUUGGAAACAGGUGCUAAUACCGCAUAACAGUUUAUGCCGCAUGGCAUAAGAGUGAAAGGCGCUUUCGGGUGUCGCUGAUGGAUGGACCCGCGGUGCAUUAGCUAGUUGGUGAGGUAACGGCUCACCAAGGCCACGAUGCAUAGCCGACCUGAGAGGGUGAUCGGCCACACUGGGACUGAG
rnacentral:rRNA from 1 species